rnacentral:rRNA from 1 species
GAACGAACGCUGGCGGCGUGCCUACCCCAUGCAAGUCGAACGAGAAAGGGGCUUCGGCUCCGAGUAAAGUGGCGCACGGGUGAGUAACACGUGGGUAACCUGCCUCUAAGAUUGGGAUAACUCGUCGAAAGAUGAGCUAAUACCGAAUAAGACCACAGUUCCCGCGGGAACAGGGGUCAAAGGUAGCCUCUGCUUGCAAGCUAUCACUUAGAGAUGGGCCUGCGCACCAUUAGCUAGUUGGUAGGGUAACGGCCUACCAAGGCAAAGAUGGUUAGCUGGUCUGAGAGGAUGAUCAGCCACACUGGAACUGAGACACGGUCCAGACUCCUACGGGAGGCAGCAGUGGGGAAUAUUGCGCAAUGGGCGAAAGCUUGACGCAGCAACGCCGCGUGAGUGAUGAAGGCCUUCGGGUCGUAAAGCUCUGUCGGGAGGAACGAAUGCUCCUGAGGUUAACAGCCUCGGGAGGUGACGGUACCUUCAAAGGAAGCACCGGCUAACUCUGUG